UACGUAGGGGGCAAGCGUUGUCCGGAAUUAUUGGGCGUAAAGCGCGCGCAGGCGGCCUUGUAAGUCUGUCGUUUAAACUCGGAGUCUACAACUUCGAGUCGCGAUGGAAACUGCAAGCUUGAGUGACAGAAGAGGAAAGUGGAAUUCAACGUGUAGCGGUGAAAUGCGUAGAGAUGUGGAGGAACACCGAUGGCGAAGGCAGCCGCCUGGGCCUGAUCUGACACUGAGACAGAAAGCGUGGGAUCAAACAGG
rnacentral:rRNA from 1 species